rnacentral:rRNA from 1 species
UACGUAGGGGGCAAGCGUUGUCCGGAUUUAUUGGGCGUAAAGAGCGUGUAGGCGGCCAUACAGGUCAGCUGUGAAAACUCGAGGCUCAACCUCGAGACGUCGGUUGAAACCGUAUGGCUAGAGUCCGGAAGAGGAGAGUGGAAUUCCCGGUGUAGCGGUGAAAUGCGCAGAUAUCGGGAAGAACACCAGUGGCGAAAGCGGCUCACUGGACCACAACUGACGCUGAGGCGCGAAAGCUAGGGGAGCAAACAGG